rnacentral:rRNA from 1 species
AUGUACCCUGUAGCUUGGGCUCUUGUGGAAAAAGAGAAUACUGACACAUGGAAGUGGUUCAUUGGGCUUCUAAUUAAGGAUUUGGAUAUCAAUGAUCAAGGAGCUGGCUGGGUCUUCAUUUCAGACAAGCAAAAGGUAAAAAAAGCAUAUGUUUCUUAG